ensembl:lncRNA
AGAGCAGUUGAGGUGGGGAGCACCGUAGGGCAGUUGAGGUGGGGAGCACCGUAGGGCAGUUGAGGUGGGGAGCACCGUAGGGCAGUUGAGGUGGGGAGCACCGUAGGGCAGUUGAGGUGGGGAGCACCGUAGGGCAGUUGAGGUGGGGACGCACCCACAAUGUUAAUCUGCCCCGGCAUGUACCGGCCACUGGAUAGCAGGAGUGAGUGGGAACAUGCAGGCCACUGGAUAGGAGGAGUGAGUGGGAACAUGCAGGCCACUGGAUAGGAGGAGUGAGUGGGAACAUGCAGGCCACUGGAUAGGAGGAGUGAGUGGGAACAUGCAGGCCAUCUGAUAGGAGGAGUGAUGGGAACAUGCAGGCCAUCUGAUAGGAGGAGUGAGUGGGAACAUGCAGGCCACUGGAUAGGAGGAGUGAGUGGGAACAUGCAGGCCACUGGAUAGGAGGAGUGAGUGGGAACAUGC